rnacentral:rRNA from 1 species
UUAAAGGAAUUGACGGGACCCGCACAAGCGGUGGAUGAUGUGGUUUAAUUCGAUGCAACGCGAAAACCUUACCCACCUUUGACAUGUACGGAACCCUUUAGAGAUAGAGGGGUGCUCGAAAGAGAGCCGUAACACAGGUGCUGCAUGGCUGUCGUCAGCUCGUGUCGUGAGAUGUUGGGUUAAGUCCCGCAACGAGCGCAACCCUUGUCAUUAGUUGCUACAUUCAGUUGGGCACUCUAAUGAGACUGCCGGUGACAAGCCGGAGGAAGGUGGGGAUGACGUCAAGUCCUCAUGGCCCUUAUAGGUGGGGCUACACACGUCAUACAAUGGCUGGUACAAAGGGUUGCCAACCCGCGAGGGGGAGCCAAUCCCAUAAAGCCAGUCGUAGUCCGGAUCGUAGUCUGCAACUCGACUACGUAAAGUCGGAAUCGCUAGUAAUCGUGGAUCAGAAUGUCACGGUGAAUACGUUCCCGGGUCUU